rnacentral:rRNA from 1 species
GUGCCAGCAGCCGCGGUAAAACGUAGGAGGCAAGCGUUAUCCGGAUUUACUGGGCGUAAAGCGCGUGCAGGCGGUUUGGUAAGUUGGAUGUGAAAGCUCCUGGCUCAACUAGGAGAGGUCGUUCAAUACUACCAGACUAGAGAGCGGUAGAGGGAGGUGGAAUUCCCGGUGUAGUGGUGAAAUGCGUAGAUAUCGGGAGGAACACCAGUGGCGAAAGCGGCCUCCUGGACCGUUUCUGACGCUCAGACGCGAAAGCUAGGGUAGCAAACGGGAUUAGAGACCCCGGUAGUCCUAGCUGUAAACGAUGUGAACUUGGCGUCGGCGGGUUCAAAGCCGUCGGUGCCGAAGCCAACGCGAUAAGUUCACCGCCUGGGGACUACGGCCGCAAGGUUAAAACUCAAAUGAAUUGACGGGG